UAUUUGCUGUGAUGAUUCCUGUUAGGACGGUAUCUGAAGGGGUUGAUGUCUAAGUGCACCCCCAUCUGAUUAUACCAAAACUGAAUAUGGUUUCUGAGCAAGUC
rnacentral:snoRNA from 2 species